GACGAACGCUGGCGGCGUGCUUAACACAUGCAAGUCGAACGGAAAGGCCCUGCUUUUGUGGGGUGCUCGAGUGGCGAACGGGUGGGUAACACGUGAGUAACCUGCCCUUGACUUUGGGAUAACUUCAGGAAACUGGGGCUAAUACCGGAUAGGAGCUCCUGCUGCAUGGUGGGGGUUGGAAAGUUUCGGCGGUUGGGGAUGGACUCGCGGCUUAUCAGCUUGUUGGUGGGGUAGUGGCUUACCAAGGCUUUGACGGGUAGCCGGCCUGAGAGGGUGACCGGCCACAUUGGGACUGAGAUACGGCCCAGACUCCUACGGGAGGCAGCAGUGGGGAAUAUUGCACAAUGGGCGGAAGCCUGAUGCAGCAACGCCGCGUGCGGGAUGACGGCCUUCGGGUUGUAAACCGCUUUCGCCUGUGACGAAGCAUGAGUGACGGUAAUGGGUAAAGAAGCACCGGCUAACUACGUG
rnacentral:rRNA from 1 species